rnacentral:rRNA from 1 species
CCUACGUGAGGCUGCAGUGGGGAAUAUUGGGCAAUGGGCGCAAGCCUGACCCAGCAACGCCGCGUGAAGGAAGAAGGCUUUCGGGUUGUAAACUUCUUUUGUCAGGGAAGAGUAGAAGACGGUACCUGACGAAUAAGCCACGGCUAACUACGUGCCAGCAGCCUCGGUAAUACGUAGGUGGUAAGCGUUGUCCGGAUUUACUGGGUGUAAAGGGCGUGUAGCCGGGUUGACAAGUCAGAUGUGAAAUCCUGCGGCGUAACCGCAGAACUGCAUUUGAAACUGGUGAUCUUGAGUACUGGAGAGGCAGACGGAAGUCCUGGUGUAGCGGGGAAAUGCGUAGAUAUUAGGAGGAACACCAGUGGCGAAGGCGGUCUGCUGGACAGCAACUGACGGUGAGGCGCGAAAGCGUGGGGAGCAAACAGGAUUAGAUACCCGGGUAGUC